rfam:Schistosoma curassoni strain Dakar, Senegal genome assembly, scaffold: SCTD_scaffold0002256
AUCAGUUCCAAAUAGGACGAAACGCGCGUCCUGGAU